rnacentral:rRNA from 1 species
GCUUGUCUCAAAGAUUAAGCCAUGCAUGUCUAAGUACAAGCCUCAGUAAGGUGAAACCGCGAAUGGCUCAUUAAAUCACACCUAAUCUACUGGAAAGUUACUAGUUACUUGGAUAACUGAGGUAAUUCUUGAGCUAAUACAUGCGAAAAAUCUCGACUCACGGAGAGAUGCUUUUAUUAGAUCAAAACCAAACGGCUUCGGCCGUCUCAUUGGUGACUCUGAAUAACUUUGGGCUGAUCGUAUGGCCUUGUGCCGACGACGUUUCCUUCGAAGGUGUGCCCUAUCAACUGUCGAUGGUACGUGCUAUGCCUACCAUGGUGAUAACGGGUAACGGGGAAUCAGGGUUCGAUUCCGGAGAGGGAGCAUGAGACACGGCUACCACAUCCAAGGAAGGCAGCAGG